AAAUAUUAUUUUUGCAAUCAGUACAAAUUGUAUGGUCUUUUAUUUCAGAUGACUCCAGUCCACAAGCAAGAAAGCAUUCCAGGACGGAGCAUGUGUCUGGAAGCCCUGUCCGUCAGUAGACAUCACUGCCUCCACCACCUGCAUAUGAGUCAACACCACACAGGAAACCAGCCGGUCGCCCAGAGCUGGAUGGGUGUAUUCUAACGCAAGC